rnacentral:rRNA from 1 species
AGCGAACGCUGGCGGCAGGCUUAACACAUGCAAGUCGAGCGGGCACUUCGGUGUCAGCGGCAGACGGGUGAGGAACACGUGGGAACGUACCCUUCGGUUCGGAAUAACGCUGGGAAACUAGCGCUAAUACCGGAUACGCUCUGCUGGGGCAAGGUUUACUGCCGUAGGAUGGGCCCGCGUCCGUUUAGCUUGUUGGGGGGGUAAUGGCCUACCAAGGCGACGAUCAGUAGCUGGUCUGAGAGGAUGAUCAGCCACACUGGGACUGAGACACGGCCCAGACUCCUACGGGAGGGAGCAGUGGGGAAUAUUGGACAAUGGGCGCAAGCCUGAUCCAGCCAGGCCGCGUGAGUGAUGAAGGCCUUAGGGUUGUAAAGCUCUUUUGUCCGGGACGAUAAUGACGGUACCGGAAGAAUAAGCCCCGGCUAACUUCGUG